rnacentral:misc_RNA from 1 species
UAUUUUUGCUUCUUUUUUUUUUUUGUUUGGGGGGGGCGUCGCGCUUUUGCUUUUGAGGGUUUAAUAAUGGCUGCAGGGUCAACAGUUCGGUUAGUUCGUUGCCCAAAGUGUGAAAAUCUCCUACCAGAGCUUCCUAACUAUUCUGUAUACCAGUGCGGUGGUUGUGGUGCUUUUCUUCGAGCAAAGAAGAAAGCGGCUAUAAAUGGUCUAUUAGAGAAGCGUGAAAAGAAGAGGGAUGAAGAAGCCCGAGAGGGUUUUGAGAAAUUGCAGAGUUUGUCAGAGAAAGAAGAUGGUAGUAAUUUAGGCAUUGCAUCUGAGGCUGAGUUGGAGAGUGAUAUGGUUUUUCUUGAUAGGAGAAAUGUGAGUGUCUUUAGAGAAAGAACUGCCGAAUUGGUCAUUAGUUCUUCAUUGAAUAUAGAAAACAAAGAAACUUCCAUUGAUAGCAGCAAUGGAACUGUGAAGGAACAAAUUUUGGGUUAUGAAAGAGGUGCAGAGAGAGGAAAUGGUUCUAGUAAUAAUUAUAGGCUACCGCUGAAGCACCCAAUUGGGAAUAGGGCUGGCCGGGGUGAUAAUGAAAUGAACAUGAAUAAAGCCGAGUUUGUUAAUUCAAGUAGGGAAAAAGGUGUUGUAGAAAUUUCAGCCCAAGUUAAGGGUUCUGCUGGGUCUUUGAGGUCAAGGAUGAUUGCGGGCAAUUGGAGUUUGGAUAAAGAUGGCAUAGAGGGACCUUAUGCAAACCCCAGAAUGGCUGCUGAUCAGAGCAGUUUUGCGACUUUUGCUUCUUCUGAUGAGGGACCUUCAAACUAUUGCUUGAGCUCUUCUUCUUAUGGAUAUGGUAAAAUGGUGAAGAAUUUUGAUGACCUGGAUGGGUCUAAUAGAUUUGCACGCUUAGAGCAGAAUCGAGCUGAGUUGCUUAGGAAACUGGAUGAGUUGAAGGAACAUAUCUGCAGAAAUGGUUCUGCAGCUGAGAAACAAAGUGAAGGGGCCUUUGGUGCUUACCAUGAUAGUGCUACUUACAAUGUUCCGGUGAAACCUUUAGCUCCAGAUAAGCAUGUCCAAAGAAACCCUUACUUUAAGCAACAUGGCCGUGAUAUAGAUAUGCAAAACUUUUAUUUUCCUCCAAAUCACGUUGCAAAUGAAUUUCCAGUUUAUGAGGAUCCCAUUCAACUAAAAUUACCCAGGAUGAGUUCCCAUCAACCACCUGGUCGGUAUUGGCAGCAAACUCCUGCUGAUUACGUGCUAGAGGAAUACAGGGAUUUCAACCAAGAACAACGCAUUGCAUCUUAUCCUUGUGGAACACCAUAUCAAGAUCCUCCUUGUGCAUGUUUCCACUGCUACAACAAUAAUCGACAUGUUUCUUCACGAGUCCCAGUCUCUGUUUUUGGCAAUAAAAAUAUUUUGAAGGACCCAACUGAUUCCCACUUCAACUACCGUGUCAAUCCUAUCACAUUUGGGUCAAAGAAAUGCAAACCUCAAGCCAAUCCUCCUAAAUUUCACGCACAAGAUCCACAGUCACAUGGUAGUUGGCCUAGUGACCUCGAUUCAGAUGUGAAUGUUUUUCAUCAGAGGCGUCCAAGGAGGGUGGUUGUAGCUCGUGGAAAUGUGCGUCUUUGCCAUCCUAUUGCGGGUGGUGCCCCAUUUAUAACAUGCUCCAGUUGCUUUAUGUUACUAAAACUGCCAAGAAAACUUAAAGCAAGGGAGAAAAAUCAGCAGAAACUGCAAUGUGGUGCCUGCUUAACAGUAUUCUUGUUUGAAAUUAAGAACAAGAAGCUAAUUAUUUCUAUUCCCACUGAAAUGAAGCAAAUAUUGGCUGGAGCAAAUGAAGGCUCUUCUGAGGUCUCAAAAGAAGUCCCUUCAAGUCCUCAUGGUGGUUUUAUUGCCCAAGGAAUGGAUUGCUCUGUAAAUGUUGAUAAUCCUGGUCAUGAUUUCCGGACAUCAGAUUUCAAAAGAAAUAUCCUGUCAGAAGUCCAGAGGCUGAAAUUAAUUGAAUUUGAGAAAAGGCAGCACCUUUCCCUAUCUCCCAUAUCUUCUGGGGAAGAAGAGGACCUGGAUAGUGUGAUUGUUAAGAGAGUUGUUUCCUACAUUCCUGAGCUGCCCACAAAAGAUAACGCAUCUCCAAAAUUUCCAGGUUUACCUUUAUCAGAGAGUUUGGAUGACGUCUCAUCUAAUAAGGAAGAAAACAGACAUGGGAAAGGAAACAAGAGUAAUGGAUCAGACCAUGAAAAGGUUAUACUUGACAAGAGUACUUCUCAACAGAAAUCGGUGAAAGAUGCAUCAGAAACUGAAGUGGAAGUUUCUUUCACUGAAUACCUAAGUACUAAUUUAUCUCAAGACUCUAUGGAGAUGAGUGAAGAAAAAGACCAGUCUAGGAUCAACAAGGGAAGCGAAUCAUUCCUGGUGGGUCUCCUCAGGAAGGGCUUUGGGGAUUUCUCAAGAUCUAAACACCACGUGGAGGGUGAAACUGAAGAAUCUAAUAUUUCUGUUAAUGGGCAACCUAUUCCAGACAGUAUGGUGAAAAGGGCUGAAAAGCUAGCUGGGCCAAUUCUUCCUGGAGAUUACUGGUAUGAUUUUGAAGCUGGAUUUUGGGGUGUGAUGGGACAACCUUGCCUUGGCAUAAUUCCUCCUUUUAUUAAGGAGUUUAAUUAUCCCAUGCCAGAAAAUUGUGGUGCUGGAAACACCAGUGUCUUUGUCAAUGGGAGAGAGCUUCAUCAGAAAGAUUUAGAUCUACUUGCCAGUAGAGGACUACCAACCACAAGGAAUAAGUUCUAUACUGUUGGAAUUUCAGGGAGAGUUCUUGAAAAAGACUCUGCUAAAGAGCUAAACAGCCUUGGUGAACUCGCCCCUACGGUCCAGAAGCUGAAGCGAGGAUUUGGGAUGAAGGUUCCAAGAAGAAAGCCUGUCUGAUCAGUAACAUUUUAGUUUAAUAAUCUUGUUCAGCUGUAAAUAUGAAGGCAAUCACCGCUUGUAUUUAUUUGUUUGUGUUCUAUUGAUGCCUGAAAGUGCGCUUUCUUCACAGCGAAUGCUAAUGUCAGAUUCCUGAUAUGCUUGCUUGUACUGACAUGAUAUUUUUGACCUCAAAUACGAACUAGUUUGUACAGAUUGUAUAUAUUCUAUGUAUGCAUAUUGACUAGUUAGUUAUAAAUGGCCAAGCAAAUGCUAAUGUCAGAUGCAUUAGGCUGCACAGUACAUCAUCUUAAACCUUUCUUUUUCUGAGCCAUGUUGGGAAG